rnacentral:rRNA from 1 species
UACAGAGGGGGCAAGCGUUAUUCGGAAUUAUUGGGCGUAAAGGGCGCGUAGGCGGCCUGGCAAGUGGAAGGUGAAAUCCCUCGGCUUAACCGAGGAACUGCCCUCCAAACUGCUUGGCUUGAGUCCGGGAGAGGUGAGUGGAAUUCCCAGUGUAGCGGUGAAAUGCGUAGAUAUUGGGAGGAACACCAGUGGCGAAGGCGGCUCACUGGACCGGAACUGACGCUGAGGCGCGAAAGCGUGAGGAGCAAACGGG